AGGAUCAUUACUGAAUUGUUAACAUGAGUUGUUGUUGGCCCCCAAACAGAGGCAUGUGCACGCUCUGUUUACACAUCCACUCACACCUGUGCACCCUCUGUAGUUCUAUGGCCUGGGUGACUCUGUCCCCUUGCUGUUGUUCUGCAUCUUUACACACAUACACUGUAACUUAGUUUUGUGGAAUGUAUCCUGCAUAUUAUGCAAUACAAUACAACUUUCAGCAACGGAUCUCUUGGCUCUCGCAUCGAUGAAGAACGCAGCGAAAUGCGAUAAGUAAUGUGAAUUGCAGAAUUCAGUGAAUCAUCGAAUCUUUGAACGCACCUUGCGCCCUUUGGCUAUUCCGAAGGGCAUGCCUGUUUGAGUAUCAUGAACACCUCAACUCUCAUGGUUUGCCAUGAUGAGCUUGGACUCUGGGGGUCUUGCUGGCUCAUGGUCAGCUCCUCUUAAAUGAAUCAGCCUUCCAGUGUUUGGUGGCAUCACAGGUGUGAUAACUAUCUACGCUUGUGGUGUCCUCCCAGGUAACCUUCGAGCAUGGAGGUCGCUGGAGCUAAUAAAUGCACAUCUCUCAUUGUAGAGAUGGCUUUUUAGAUGUUUGAUCUCAAAUCAGGUAGGACUACCCGCUGAACUUAAGCAUAUCAAUAAGCGGAGGAAAAGAAACUAACAAGGAUUCCCCUAGUAACUGCGAGUGAAGCGGGAAGAGCUCAAAUUUAAAAUCUGGCG
rnacentral:rRNA from 1 species